rnacentral:rRNA from 1 species
GACGAACGCUGGCGGCGUGCUUAACACAUGCAAGUCGAACGGAAAGGCCUGCUUUCCCUUGUGGAUUGCGGGUACUCGAGUGGCGAACGGGUGAGUAACACGUGAGUGAUCUGCCCCCAACUUGGGUAUAAGCCUGGGAAACUGGGUCUAAUUCCCGGUAGGACUGCAGGGUGGUGCCUGUGGUGGAAAACGAUUUUCUAGUGGUUGGGGAUGAGCUCGCGGCCUAUGAUCUUGUUGGUGGGGUAAUGGCCUACCAAGGCGGCGACGGGUAGCCGGACGGAGAGGGUGGACGGUGACACUGGGACUGGGAUACGGCACAGACGCCUACGGGAGGCAGCAGUGGGGAAUAUUAGACAAUGGGCGGAAGCCUGCUGCAGCGACGCCGCGUGGGGGAUGACGGCCUUCGGGUUGUAAACUCCUUUCGACCGCGAGGAAGCCACCUGGUUGGAAGGGUGGUGACGGUAGUGGUAGAAGAAGCACCGGCUAACUACGUG